UGAGGAAUAUUGGUCAAUGGGCGAGAGCCUGAACCAGCCAAGUAGCGUGCAGGAUGACGGCCUUCCGGGUUGUAAACUGCUUUUAGUUGGGAAUAAAAAAAGGGACUUGUCCCUUCUUGUAUGUACCUUCAGAAAAAGGACCGGCUAAUUCCGUGCCAGCAGUCGCGGUAAUACGGAAGGUCCAGGCGUUAUCCGGAUUUAUUGGGUUUAAAGGGAGCGUAGGCGGAUUGUUAAGUCAGCGGUUAAAGGGUGUGGCUCAACCAUGCAUUGCCGUUGAAACUGGCGAUCUUGAGUGCAGACAGGGAUGCCGGAAUUCGUGGUGUAGCGGUGAAAUGCUUAGAUAUCACGAAGAACUCCGAUCGCGAAGGCAGGUGUCCGGGCUGCAACUGACGCUGAGGCUCGAAAGUGUGGGUAUCAAACAGGAUUAGAUACCCUGGUAGUCCACACAGUAAACGAUGUAUACUCGCGGUUUGCGAUAGACAGUAAGCCGCCAAGCGAAAGCAUUAAGUAUACCACCUGGGGAGUACGCCGGCAACGGU
rnacentral:rRNA from 1 species